AACGAACGCUGGCGGCAAGCUCAACACAUGCAAGUCGAGCGCCCCGCAAGGGGAGCGGCAGACGGGUGAGUAACGCGUGGGAAUCUACCCAUCUCUACGGAAUAACGCAUGGAAACGUGUGCUAAUACCGUAUACGUCCUUCGGGAGAAAGAUUUAUCGGAGAUGGAUGAGCCCGCGUUGGAUUAGCUAGUUGGUGGGGUAAAGGCCUACCAAGGCGACGAUCCAUAGCUGGUCUGAGAGGAUGAUCAGCCACACUGGGACUGAGACACGGCCCAGACUCCUACGGGAGGCAGCAGUGGGGAAUAUUGGACAAUGGGCGCAAGCCUGAUCCAGCCAUGCCGCGUGAGUGAUGAAGGCCCUAGGGUUGUAAAGCUCUUUCACCGGUGAAGAUAAUGACGGUAACCGGAGAAGAAGCCCCGGCUAACUUCGUGCCAGCCGCCGCGGUAAGAC
rnacentral:rRNA from 1 species